GUUACCUGGAAAUCUAGAAAAUAAUGAUAAAACAAUACAUGCUUUUCUGCCCUAGGAACUGAAGACUGGUAGAAGAAAUCUUCCUUCCUUGCCUUUCCACCAGUUCACUUUUCUUUUAAUGAAGAAAGAGCUGGUGACCUAGUUCUUUGCCAACCAUCAAUAGCUGAUGAAAAGGAGAAGGAGGAGGAGGAGAAAGAAGAAGAAGAAGAAGAAAAAUAAGAAGAAGGAGGAGAAGGAGAAGGAGAAGGAGAAGGAGAAAUGAAGAAAGAAAACAGAAUCACAUAGGAGGCUUGGUUUUCCUAUUACCCCAUUACCUGUCCACCAAUUGCACUAAGGCCAGAUCCAUGGACAGCCAGCUGUAGCCACACAGGACCAGGGUCCCCAGGCCACCCUCAUGCAAAGCAGUUAAAUUGGAGGGCCCCGAAGCCAGCUUCUGCCCACGAACACCUCCAGGGUAGGUCUCUCUGGGCCAGCAUCUCUUGUACCAGUGAGGACCGGAAUGUUUUGUCUCAGACCAGGAAUGCUGAUAGAAUCAGACAACUCUGCAACCAGCGAGGAACCCAUUUACCACGGUUUACUUUUCACAUGUGUCCUGAAGAGCAGCCACUCUGUGAAGAGGCUGCUUCAGCAAUAGGAGAGGGGCAGAUGCUGCCAUGGAUGCCUUCCUACCCUCAAAGGAAGUGAUGUCCUUUACCCAAAUGGCUUGGGAAAUUUGAACAUCCUUUCUGCAGGAAUACACCUUUAUGUUAACUGAACACAGAACCAUCUUAACUGCUUAUUCUACUAGUUCUCAAAGUGUGGUCCCUGAACCAGAAGCACCAGCAUCACCUGCGAGCUUAUUAGAAAUGCAGAUUCUACAGCUGGAGCAGGACUUACAGAAUGGGACACUGGAGGCGAGGCCCAGAAAUCCGUAUUUUAGCAAGCCCUCAUGUAAAUUUGCUGCAUGCUCAAGUCUGAGGACUGGUAUUUUAUGCCUUUUGUUCAUGUUUUUAAAUUAAUACUGAUAUUUUCAAAUUCAUGUUGUCAAAAUUUUCCAGUUAAUACCUGCAAACUAUUCCUUCCUUCAAGUGGCCCUUGGGGCCCUAUGUUAUAUUUACUAAGUCAUGGGCUUUAAACUUCAAAAGGGUAGGUCUCUUUGGUCCUGGAGCCUAUAUCUCUGGUUUCGAGUCAUAUAUACAUGCCCUAAUUCUUUUCUUUAUUCACAGAAGUCUAGAUUCUGUCCAGAUUGAUCACUUGAUGGAACUUUACAUUUCUUUGGUUCAUAAGAUCUAUAAAUAUAUUUUCCUUCAGUUUCUUAAGACCAUUGAACUUGAUGGAAUCUCAAGAUAUUUAAUAGUGUAUUUGCUAUUAAGUGAUAAAGUCUUUUAAAUCUUGAUGUGAUUUUGUAUUCUUUUAUAGUAUUAAAACUUCAUAUAUUUGGU
rnacentral:lncRNA from 1 species